rnacentral:rRNA from 1 species
AUGGCAUUCUACUCAGAUCAUCAUGCUUAUGUGAACAAUUGCACAAAUAGCUCGGAAAGUGUUGAAGACCUGAUAAGUAAGAUUUCCCAUCGAUUAGAUGAUUUAGCCCGGCAGCGAGGUAUUGUUUUUGAGGAUAGGCCUAGCUCUUAUGAUCCUUAUUCUAGAGGCCAUCCUUAUGUUGCUCCUACAUGCCAUAUUUGUGGAUUUCAGGGCCAUUCACCCGCUGAAUGCCAGCGUGGUUACCCUCACCCUCCGAAUUGUUUUGGUAUGAGCUUUGCUCAACAGCAUAGCUCAUGCCAAAACAAUUACACACAUGGGUGGCCUGAAAACCAGAAUAUGUCAUAUAGGAACAACAACCCUGAGAUCUCACUGUUUGCUUUUAGUAAUCAUAUGCAGGGAUUUAGGUAUGAAGGGGAGAGCAACAACUAUGCACCACAACAAUGCUAUUCACCUCCUACUCAUAUACCUCAACACCAGGAGAUGUUGCCAAUGGAGUUAAAUGAUCCUCCAUUUGGUCAACCAACACCUUCAACACAAGUUCCCACACAAGAUGACUUCGAUGAUAUAGACAAGCUCACAUUGCUUAGUCUCGAGUUCACUUGGAGUGCCGAAGAUGAUCCAAUUAGGCCGGUGAUACUAGAGGAAAUGAAGAAGAUCAAGAGUGGAAAAGAGCUAGUGGAAGAAGUAAGGAAGAUUGAGAAGAACAUCAACGCUGGCAGUACUAUCUCAUCCCUCCUUGAGCUUAGUGCUGCUGAGAUCUCUAGUCAUACAUGUGAGGUUCCAACGCCGUCACAUCCAGCUACGCAAGAUAGCAAGAGCCUUGAGGAAGAGAUACCUCAGAUUGAAGAAGAUGAACUAGAAGACGAGGAAAAAGAUGAUCCAGAGCUCAACUACCCAAGUGAUCAAGUCGAAGACCUUGAAGAUCCAAUGUAUACCCUUCCUGAAGAAGUAAAACAAGCUCCUGUAGUUGAAGAUGAAGAACCAGAAAUUCAUUUGCCCAUCGUCAUACAAGAGCGUGAUGUAGCAGGUUUAUCUAAUCCUCUUGAUGACAUGCGUCCAUAUGAAUUGUUUGCUACUACCUUGCAUUACAUGAUACCAUCACUUAAGAUUGAUUUGAAAACUCAUUUGCUUGGAUAUGAUGAUACAUACACUGUUGGUGGUAUCACUCUCAUUUAUGAUUGUGACACUUAUUCUCCUCAUGCUAGUCCUUUGCUUAAUGAAACAUAUCAUUCCAAUGCUAAUCUUGAGCUUAAUGAUAAAUAUCAUCCUCAUGUCAGUGUUGACCUUGCUGAUUUCUACCAUCCUAAACAUGUGCUUUAUAGCUAUGCUUAUGUAAUUGGAUACUCGAUGAUGACUUGGAGGGUAUUAUCCCUACCGCUUGCAUUGUCUCUUUUGUGGAGUGUUCUUUCAGGUUUUUGCUACUGCACCGUUUACUACAUGCUGACCAGGUUCGAGGUGACAUUCCUUGGGAUCCCGGUGGAUUCACGGUAUGGUGAUGAGAAGCAAAGAGCACACAUGAGGAAGAGCGAAGCUGGAGCUUGCAUGUGGAAGCAAAAGAAGAAGAGCAUCAGCUUAGAGAGUGAUCAAGCGAGUGCUACAUGA